rnacentral:rRNA from 1 species
UUCUGACCGUAAACGAUGCCAACUAGCGAUCCGUCGGUGGCUCCAAGGCCCUGAUGGGGAGCUUCCCGGAAACGAAAGUCUUCCGGUUCCGGGGGAAGUAUGGUUGCAAAGCUGAAACUUAAAGGAAUUGACGGAAGGGCACCACCAGGAGUGGAGCCUGCGGCUUAAUUUGACUCAACACGGGAAAACUCACCCGGCCCGGACACCGUGAGGAUUGACAGAUUGAUAGCUUUUUCAUGAUUCGGUGGUUGGUGGUGCAUGGCCGUUCUUAGUUCGUGGAUCGAUUUGUCUGGUUUAUUCCGAUAACGAGCGAGACUCCAGCCUACUAACUAGUGCGGGCAUUGCCACUGUGCCUUUUGCACUUCUUAGAGGGAUUGGCUGCGUCUAGCGGCACGAAACGGAGCAAUAACAGGUCUGUGAUGCCCUUAGAUGUCCGGGGCUGCACGCGCGCUACACUGGCAAAGGCAGCGUGCUUGUCCGUCUCCGAAAGGAGUCGGUAAACCCUUGAAAAUUUGCCGUGAUUGGGAUCGGAAAUUGCAAUUAUUUUCCGUGAACGAGGAAUUCCUAGUAAGUGCGAGUCAUCAGCUCGCGUUG